rnacentral:tRNA from 1 species
AACCCCGUGGUGUAAUGGUAGCACAACAGAUUUUGGUUCUGUUUGUCAUGGUUCGAAUCCAUGCGGGGUUGCCA